UGGGGAAUCUUGCACAAUGGGGGCAACCCUGAUGCAGCGACGCCGCGUGAGCGAUGAAGCCCUUCGGGGCGUAAAGCUCUUUCGACCGGAACGAUAAUGACGGUACCGGGAGAAGAAGCUGCGGCUAACUACGUGCCAGCAGCCGCGGUAAUACGUAGGCAGCAAGCGUUGUUCGGAAUUACUGGGCGUAAAGCGUGCGUAGGUGGUUGUUUAAGUCUGAUGUGAAAGCCCUGGGCUCAACCUGGGAAUGGCAUUGGAAACUGGGCUGCUAGAGUGCGGUAGAGGUUAGUGGAAUUCCCGGUGUAGCAGUGAAAUGCGUAGAGAUCUGGAGGAACACCUGUGGCGAAGGCGACUGCCUGGACCAGCACUGACACUGAGGCACGAAAGCGGGG
rnacentral:rRNA from 1 species